rnacentral:rRNA from 1 species
GAUUGCAGUCUGCAACUCGAGUGCAUGAAGCUGGAAUCGCUAGUAAUCGCGGAUCAGAAUGCCGCGGUGAAUACGUUCCCGGGUCUUGUACACACCGCCCGUCACACCAUGGGAGUCGAUAACGCCCGAAGUCAGUGACCCAACCUUAUAGGAGGGAGCUGCCGAAGGCGGGAUUGAUAACUGGGGUGAAGUCGUAACAAGGUAGC